ACCGAGUUUCAACUCCCAAACCCAAUGUGAACGUUACCAAACUGUUGCCUCGGCGGGAUCUCUGCCCCGGGUGCGUCGCAGCCCCGGACCAAGGCGCCCGCCGGAGGACCAACCAAAACUCUUAUUGUAUACCCCCUCGCGGGUUUUUUUAUAAUCUGAGCCUUCUCGGCGCCUCUCGUAGGCGUUUCGAAAAUGAAUCAAAACUUUCAACAACGGAUCUCUUGGUUCUGGCAUCGAUGAAGAACGCAGCGAAAUGCGAUAAGUAAUGUGAAUUGCAGAAUUCAGUGAAUCAUCGAAUCUUUGAACGCACAUUGCGCCCGCCAGUAUUCUGGCGGGCAUGCCUGUCCGAGCGUCAUUUCAACCCUCGAACCCCUCCGGGGGGUCGGCGUUGGGGAUCGGCCCUCCCUUAGCGGGGUGGCCGUCUCCGAAAUACAGUGGCGGUCUCGCCGCAGCCUCUCCUGCGCAGUAGUUUGCACACUCGCAUCGGGAGCGCGGCGCGUCCACAGCCGUUAAACACCCAACUUCUGAAAUGUUGACCUCGGAUCAGGUAGGAAUACCCGCUGAACUUAAGCAUAUCAAUAA
rnacentral:rRNA from 1 species